rfam:Felis catus isolate Cinnamon breed Abyssinian chromosome B4, whole genome shotgun sequence.
GCCUGGGUGGCUCAGUCGGUUGGGCGUCUGACUUCGGCUCAGGUCACGAUCUCGUGGUCCGUGAAUUCGAGCCCCACGUCAGGCU